UGACUGUUGUUAUUAUUCAUGUCUCAGACUGACUCUGUUAGAGGACGAUAAGAAGGUCAUUCUAGAGGCGGAGAUUGAAACCUAUUCACCUGAACCAACACACAUUCAAACAUUGUGAUUUUAAUAUGAAGAGAAAAAGACAACAUCUGGACCAAAUACCUGACAAAUCAUCCUGUUCAACAGAGAUAACUGUGUACCUUGUAUCCUAGUUAGAACAUAAGAUAGCUGUACAAGUACACACACACACACACACACACACACACACACCACGUGAUUUCCCGUAAACGAAGAGAGGAGGAAGAGAAACGAAACUGAAUUUCAACUCCAUUUUGAUCCAGCGCGGAAAACCGAAGCGCGACUGGAGAUCAGGAGAUGGAAGAAGAGGAGAACUGGAAGUUGGAGGGAGAGGAGGACUGGAAGAUGGAGGAAGAGGAGGACAGGAAGUUGGAAGAAGUGGAGGACUGGAAGAUGGAGGAAGAGGAGGACAGAAUCAUCAACUUCUCCAAAGACAGACCUCUAAACUUAAGGAAGGAACCUGGACCCUUAGACACAAAAGGUCAGUACCACAAACAGAGAGCAGAGUCUACAGCAUCCAGCUGUCUGUCCAUGAAGAGUGAC